rnacentral:lncRNA from 1 species
AAUAAUAGUUUUUAAGAAUUUAUAAAAUAUUAAAUCGGAAAAUAGACUAAAAGAAACAAAAAAACAUAUAUAAAACAAAAAAAAUCAAUUAAAAAAAUAAAUAUGAAAUAAAAAUAGAUAAAGAGACAUCUCAGAUUUUGACUCCCCAGACUCAAUCUUUGAUCUCUCUGAAUUCGACCUUUGACCUCUUAGCAUUAAUGGCAAC